AGAACGACUAAAUAACGUGAACUGGAGAAUGGAAAAAUUAAACUCAGGAGAGUAAUUGUCGGCUUAAAGGAUCUACGUGAAGAUUUUAGUAUAACUGAACUUAAUGAGAAUUUUGAGAAUAAAAACAGAAAACGUAAAAUGAGAGCGUUCGGAAAGGUGACAGUCUAGAUACUUACCUGUAUGAGGUUGAGGUUAUCAAACUGACUUUGAAGAUCACAAAUAUUGCUAUGUUGACGGCUGGUGGUUUCGGG
rnacentral:misc_RNA from 1 species